UUUGGUGGCGAUAGCGAAGAGGUCACACCCGUUCCCAUGCCGAACACGGAAGUUAAGCUCUUCAGCGCCGAUGGUAGUCGGGGGUUUCCCCCUGUGAGAGUAGGACGCCGCC
rnacentral:rRNA from 2 species